rnacentral:rRNA from 1 species
AGCCCAGAGCCUGAAUCAGUGUGUGUGUUAGUGGAAGCGUCUGGAAAGGCGCGCGAUACAGGGUGACAGCCCCGUACACAAAAAUGCACAUAUUGUGAGCUCGAUGAGUAGGGCGGGACACGUGGUAUCCUGUCUGAAUAUGGGGGGACCAUCCUCCAAGGCUAAAUACUCCUGACUGACCGAUAGUGAACCAGUACCGUGAGGGAAAGGCGAAAAGAACCCCGGCGAGGGGAGUGAAAAAGAACCUGAAACCGUGUACGUACAAGCAGUGGGAGCACGCUUAGGCGUGUGACUGCGUACCUUUUGUAUAAUGGGUCAGCGACUUAUAUUCUGUAGCAAGGUUAACCGAAUAGGGGAGCCGAAGGGAAACCGAGUCUUAACUGGGCGUUAAGUUGCAGGGUAUAGACCCGAAACCCGGUGAUCUAGCCAUGGGCAGGUUGAAGGUUGGGUAACACUAACUGGAGGACCGAACCGACUAAUGUUGAAAAAUUAGCGGAUGACUUGUGGCUGGGGGUGAAAGGCCAAUCAAACCGGGAGAUAGCUGGUUCUCCCCGAAAGCUAUUUAGGUAGCGCCUCGUGAAUUCAUCUCCGGGGGUAGAGCACUGUUUCGGCAAGGGGGUCAUCCCGACUUACCAACCCGAUGCAAACUGCGAAUACCGGAGAAUGUUAUCACGGGAGACACACGGCGGGUGCUAACGUCCGUCGUGAAGAGGGAAACAACCCAGACCGCCAGCUAAGGUCCCAAAGUCAUGGUUAAGUGGGAAACGAUGUGGGAAGGCCCAGACAGCCAGGAUGUUGGCUUAGAAGCAGCCAUCAUUUAAAGAAAGCGUAAUAGCUCACUGGUCGAGUCGGCCUGCGCGGAAGAUGUAACGGGGCUAAACCAUGCACCGAAGCUGCGGCAGCGACGCUUAUGCGUUGUUGGGUAGGGGAGCGUUCUGUAAGCCUGUGAAGGUGUGCUGUGAGGCAUGCUGGAGGUAUCAGAAGUGCGAAUGCUGACAUAAGUAACGAUAAAGCGGGUGAAAAGCCCGCUCGCCGGAAGACCAAGGGUUCCUGUCCAACGUUAAUCGGGGCAGGGUGAGUCGACCCCUAAGGCGAGGCCGAAAGGCGUAGUCGAUGGGAAACAGGUUAAUAUUCCUGUACUUGGUGUUACUGCGAAGGGGGGACGGAGAAGGCUAUGUUGGCCGGGCGACGGUUGUCCCGGUUUAAGCGUGUAGGCUGGUUUUCCAGGCAAAUCCGGAAAAUCAAGGCUGAGGCGUGAUGACGAGGCACUACGGUGCUGAAGCAACAAAUGCCCUGCUUCCAGGAAAAGCCUCUAAGCAUCAGGUAACAUCAAAUCGUACCCCAAACCGACACAGGUGGUCAGGUAGAGAAUACCAAGGCGCUUGAGAGAACUCGGGUGAAGGAACUAGGCAAAAUGGUGCCGUAACUUCGGGAGAAGGCACGCUGAUAUGUAGGUGAAGCGACUUGCUCGUGGAGCUGAAAUCAGUCGAAGAUACCAGCUGGCUGCAACUGUUUAUUAAAAACACAGCACUGUGCAAACACGAAAGUGGACGUAUACGGUGUGACGCCUGCCCGGUGCCGGAAGGUUAAUUGAUGGGGUCAGCGCAAGCGAAGCUCUUGAUCGAAGCCCCGGUAAACGGCGGCCGUAACUAUAACGGUCCUAAGGUAGCGAAAUUCCUUGUCGGGUAAGUUCCGACCUGCACGAAUGGCGUAAUGAUGGCCAGGCUGUCUCCACCCGAGACUCAGUGAAAUUGAACUCGCUGUGAAGAUGCAGUGUACCCGCGGCAAGACGGAAAGACCCCGUGAACCUUUACUAUAGCUUGACACUGAACAUUGAGCCUUGAUGUGUAGGAUAGGUGGGAGGCUUUGAAGUGUGGACGCCAGUCUGCAUGGAGCCGACCUUGAAAUACCACCCUUUAAUGUUUGAUGUUCUAACGUUGACCCGUAAUCCGGGUUGCGGACAGUGUCUGGUGGGUAGUUUGACUGGGGCGGUCUCCUCCUAAAGAGUAACGGAGGAGCACGAAGGUUGGCUAAUCCUGGUCGGACAUCAGGAGGUUAGUGCAAUGGCAUAAGCCAGCUUGACUGCGAGCGUGACGGCGCGAGCAGGUGCGAAAGCAGGUCAUAGUGAUCCGGUGGUUCUGAAUGGAAGGGCCAUCGCUCAACGGAUAAAAGGUACUCCGGGGAUAACAGGCUGAUACCGCCCAAGAGUUCAUAUCGACGGCGGUGUUUGGCACCUCGAUGUCGGCUCAUCACAUCCUGGGGCUGAAGUAGGUCCCAAGGGUAUGGCUGUUCGCCAUUUAAAGUGGUACGCGAGCUGGGUUUAGAACGUCGUGAGACAGUUCGGUCCCUAUCUGCCGUGGGCGCUGGAGAACUGAGGGGGGCUGCUCCUAGUACGAGAGGACCGGAGUGGACGCAUCACUGGUGUUCGGGUUGUCAUGCCAAUGGCACUGCCCGGUAGCUAAAUGCGGAAGAGAUAAGUGCUGAAAGCAUCUAAGCACGAAACUUGCCCCGAGAUGAGUUCUCCCUGACUCCUUGAGAGUCCUGAAGGAACGUUGAAGACGACGACGUUGAUAGGCCGGGUGUGUAAGCGCAGCGAUGCGUUGAGCUAACCGGUACUAAUGAACCGUGAGGCUUAACCUU